rnacentral:misc_RNA from 1 species
GAUGAAGAACGUAGCGAAAUGCGAUAAGUAAUGUGAAUUGCAGAAUUCAGUGAAUCAUCGAAUCUUUGAACGCACAUUGCGCCCGCCAGAAUUCUGGCGGGCAUGCCUGUUCGAGCGUCAUUUCAACCCUCAAGCCCCCGGGCUUGGUGUUGGGGAUCGGCGUGCCCUCGCGGCGCGCCGUCCCCUAAAUCUAGUGGCGGUCUCGCUGUAGCUUCCUCUGCGUAGUAGCAACACUCGCACUGGAUCGCAGCGCGGCCACGCCGUUAAACCCCCCACUUCUGAAAGUUUGACCUCGGAUCAGGUAGGAAUACCCGCUGAACUUAAGCAUAUCAAUAAGCGGAGGA